GCCGAUUGGGAAGAACAGCUCUUUCAUAGCAGGACUGAGCUUCCUUUGCACUCUGGAAACAUAUUGAAAACCUUAAAAACUUUUGAUUGUUGCCUCCCUGAAAUUCAGAGAUGCUCCUUUACUUCAUCAAACACAGGU